rnacentral:rRNA from 1 species
AGUCGAACGAGAGAAUUGCUAGCUUGCUAAUAAUUCUCUAGUGGCGCACGGGUGAGUAACACGUGAGUAACCUGCCCCCGAGAGCGGGAUAGCCCUGGGAAACUGGGAUUAAUACCGCAUAGUAUCGAAAGAUUAAAGCAGCAAUGCGCUUGGGGAUGGGCUCGCGGCCUAUUAGUUAGUUGGUGAGGUAACGGCUCACCAAGGCGAUGACGGGUAGCCGGUCUGAGAGGAUGUCCGGCCACACUGGAACUGAGACACGGUCCAGACACCUACGGGUGGCAGCAGUCGAGAAUCAUUCACAAUGGGGGAAACCCUGAUGGUGCGACGCCGCGUGGGGGAAUGAAGGUCUUCGGAUUGUAAACCCCUGUCAUGUGGGAGCAAAUUAAAAAGAUAGUACCACAAGAGGAAGAGACGGCUAACUCUGUGCCAGCAGCCGCGGUAAUACAGAGGUCUCAAGCGUUGUUCGGAAUCACUGGGCGUAAAGCGUGCGUAGGCUGUUUCGUAAGUCGUGUGUGAAAGGCGCGGGCUCAACCCGCGGACGGCACAUGAUACUGCGAGACUAGAGUAAUGGAGGGGGAACCGGAAUUCUCGGUGUAGCAGUGAAAUGCGUAGAUAUCGAGAGGAACACUCGUGGCGAAGGCGGGUUCCUGGACAUUAACUGACGCUGAGGCACGAAGGCCAGGGGAGCGAAAGGGAUUAGAUACCCCUGUAGUCCUGGCAGUAAACGGUGCACGCUUGGUGUGCGGGGAAUCGACCCCCUGCGUGCCGGAGCUAACGCGUUAAGCGUGCCGCCUGGGGAGUAC